rnacentral:rRNA from 1 species
AUUGAACGCUGGCGGAAUGCUUUACACAUGCAAGUCGAACGGCAGCACGGGGCAACCUGGUGGCGAGUGGCGAACGGGUGAGUAAUGCAUCGGAACGUACCUUUCAGUGGGGGAUAACGUAGCGAAAGUUACGCUAAUACCGCAUAUUCUGUGAGCAGGAAAGCAGGGGAUCGCAAGACCUUGCGCUGAUUGAGCGGCCGAUGUCAGAUUAGCUAGUUGGUGAGGUAAAGGCUCACCAAGGCGACGAUCUGUAGCGGGUCUGAGAGGAUGAUCCGCCACACUGGACCUGAGGCACGGUCCAGACUCCUACGGGAGGCAGCAGUGGGGAAUUUUGGACAAUGGGGGCAACCCUGAUCCAGCCAUGCCGCGUGAGUGAAAAAGGCCUUCGGGUUGUAAAGCUCUUUCGGCCGGGAAGAAAUCGCACGGGCUAAUACCCUGUGUGGAUGACGGUACCGGAAUAAGAAGCACCGGCUAACUACGUGCCAGCAGCCGCAGUAAGAC